GACGAACGCUGGCGGCGUGCUUAACACAUGCAAGUCGAGCGGUAAGGCCCUUUCGGGGGUACGACGAGCGGCGAACGGGUGAGUAACACGUGGGUGACCUGCCCUCAGCUCUGGGGAUAAGCCUGGGAAACUGGGUCUAAUACUGGAUAUGACUCCACGGUGCAUGUCGUGGGUGGAAAGCCUUGUGCGGCGUGAGGAUGGGCCCGCGGCCUAUCAGCUUGUUGGUGGGGUGAUGGCCUACCAAGGCGACGACGGGUAGCCGG
rnacentral:rRNA from 1 species